rnacentral:lncRNA from 1 species
GGGGGCAUUUUACCAGAGGUUUAGAUUGUAUCAGUGUGAUUCCUGUUGAAUCAUAUACUGCGGGGCGCAGGGCGGACGAUUUCAAAGCGGACUCCAUCUUUAAAACAAGCAAAAAGAAACAAAAGACUUAAAACCUGUUCAUUAGACAAUGAAGAUGAUUUAUGAUAUGUUGACAUGGUUUUAAUCACGUUAAGUAAGGAAGAAUAACUGACAAUACAAAACAACAACAUAUAAUCGAGGAACACUACUAUUGGUACUGAAAAAACGGAAAAAACAAUAGAAAAAAACAAAAAUUUGAUUUAUAAAAAAUAAAGACGGUAAACAAUACAACAAAAAGCCAACCAAUGUAGAAACCAAACCACAAUUGAGCUUAAGAUACAUUUAAAAAAGUAAUAUAUUUAUAUAUAGCUCUCAACUUAAGCUAGGAUUUCCCACAUCACAUGUACAUUUUUUUUUCAGAUAAUCUCGCUCAACAGAUAAUCCGAUUAACGAAUAAAAGAGAAUUAAAAAGAUUUUAUUAAUGAAUAAAGGGGAAUUAGUUACCUAGAUAGAAUGAGAGACCUUAUAGCGAAAAAUUUACUUUGCAUAUAUUAUAUAUGAUAUGAUUCUAAAUGUCUUUUUUAUUAAAUUCCAAUUUUUAAAUUUUCGUUAUUUUCUAUUUUAAAUAUUUUUGAUUAAAUUUCGAUUUUUAAUAAUUUUUAUUAAAUUUAAAUGUUUUUUGAUUAAAUUUCGAUUUUAACAGUUUUUUUAUUAAUUUACGAUUUUUAAUAUUUUAUUUAAUUACGAUUUUUAAUAUUUUUAUUUAAUUAUGAGUUUUAGUAUUUUUAAUUAAUUUACAAUUUUUAAUAUUUUUGUUAUUAAAAUGAAUUUAAAAAUAUAAGAAAGGGUAAAGGGUAAUUAGGGAAAAUUGGCUAAUUCAGACCUAAACUUUUGGAAAGUGUUAAAGUUAGGCUUGAACUAUUUUUCUGGUUAAAACAUACUUAAACAUUAUAACUAUUUGAAUUUCAUCCGUAAUCUAUGUGUAUUGUGCUUAAAUAAAUUUGUCCAUAGGUGUUAACGAUCCGUUAAAUCACGUAUAUGUGGCAUCAACGUCAGCGAUGACGUCGUUUUGGACUUAUCAAGUUUAACAAGUAAAGUACAUAAAGCGAUGUCGUUUAUAUCUUCUUCAACCCUUCGAUACUUGACAUAUCGACGACUUAGGGAUUUAAAAAUCAAAUUCUUCAGUCUUUGGAUUGUUUUUCGCAUUCAAUGUCUUCUUCUAGUAGUUCAGGUAAAUUAAAAAUUUGUCCCUCUUAUGUGUUUGUUAGUGUAUUACGUUGUGAGUAGAUUUCUUUUUUCUUUUCAUCCGAUAACUAACGCCAAUUCUUUUUUUGAAGUAAUCUCCUUCAAGCGGCACAGACAUCAGAACUUCGGAGACGUAUCAAAAUCCGGGGAGACUAUUCUAUUGUUGUCCGUAUGGAUCGAAUGAGGUAAUGUAUAGUCUCUGUUAAUUAAUUUGUUCUUUCUUUUGAUGUCAGUGACCCAUAUAAAUCGAGUCUGUUGUAUUGUUGUUAGGAUAAAAAUCAUCUGUUCAAGUGGACAGAUGUUUCUAUCGUCGAAGAGGUUGAACGCUUUCGACCUGAACUUGAAGCAUUGAAAGUAGAAGCCGCCGGAUUUGAGAAGGAGAUUGGAGAGUUAAAAGCUGAUGUCUGUUCCUGCAAAAAUGAGAUUGAAAAGCUUAAUGCAGUCAUGAGUUUCAUUAAAAAUGUGAUGGUUAGUGGAUUGGUAAUGGGUGUGAUUGUAUUUUACAUUUUCCAUUAGGAUUAUCUGUAGUGUUUUUUGCAUUUUCAAUAACGAUUAUGUGUUGUUCUAGUCUUUGGCAUUGUCAUUUUUGAGCCACAAUUCGUGUAUUUAAAUGAGAACACAAAUCUUUGUCAUUGUCAUGGUUUAGGUUCGACUGUGUAUUGAACUGUUGUUCAAUUUUGUUUCAUUGUGCAAAAUUCUCAUUGUAGAACAAAAAGAAAACCAAAAAUCAGAGUAGAAGCAAUAACAAGAGUCUCAAAAUCCAACCAAAUCCUCUGUCCGCUCAAAGACAUCUUCAAUGAAUCCACCAGAUUUUCAAACAUGGAGGCUGGACGGCUUAUGAGCGUGUUGACCUCUCCUCCAAUGUAUGUCGUUUCGUUUACCAUUGACAUCACGAACUUCCCAUUGUGAUGCACUUGAAACACAGCCUCCUCGGAACUGAAAUGAGAGUUAACAGAUUUUCAGAGUCAAAAAUUAUAUCUCUUGCCGCAAUGAUAUUAGAUGGUGAUUUAGAACCAAUACUGUAUCUAAAACCUAAACCAUAAAGCGAUCUAAUCAAAGCCUCUCAUCAAAUAACAUUAUAAAUCACACUCUAAACCCUAGCUAAUCGAUACAAAAAUAGAAAGAAGAAACACGAACUCAAAGUUUACCUCAUAUCUCCAAGCUCUAUGCAAUAAUCAAAAGCUUACACCACUUCAAAACUCACUUCUCCAAGCCCUAAGUGAUGAUUGCUCUGUUACUUUGUUUCGACGAAGAAGAAGAGAAUAUGAAAGGUUGUGUCGCGGGAUAGAAUGUGUUUUCCCCAAGUUAAGGAACAGACGACAUCGUUUUCACGUUUUUCCCAAAAAACUUAAGAAACCUUAAAUGACGACGUUACUUAUGUGGCCGCCACGUAGACCACGGCUUGACAGAAAACUUAACAGAGUUAUGUUGAAAAUUGGUUUUAGCACAAAGCAUAAAGAUGGAGUACGAAAUUCAAACUAUACCAAAGAUUAAGAAUGCCUUUCAAAUGUUAACAGAGUUCAAGUAUGACAAAGCACAGUACAUAAUGUUUAAGUAUGUUUUAACCAGAAAAAUAGUUCAAGCCUAACUUUAACACUUUCCAAAAAUUUAGGUCUGAAUUGGGCAAUUUUCUGGGUAAUUAGCUAUCCUAAAAUUGAAUGAGAGAGCUUUAACUCAAAAUUUUACUUUGUUUAUAAUGUAUAAUAAAAAUAUAAGAAGGGGUAAAGGGUAAUUAGCCACCCUAUAAUUGAAUGAGAGAGUUUUAAUUCAAAAUUUUACUUUGCUUAUAAUAUAGAUGAUAACAGUUUUUUUUUUUAUUAAUUUACGAUUUUUGAUAUUUUAUUUAAUUACGAUUUUUAAUAUUUUUAUUUAAUUACGAUUUUUAAUAUUUUUUAAUUAAUUUACAUUUUUUAAUAAAUUUUGUUAUUAAAAUUAAUUUAAAAAAUAUAAGAAGGGGUAAAGGGUAAUUAGCCACCCUAAAAUUGAAUGAGAGAGCUUUAACUCAAAAUUUUACUUUGCUUAUAAUAUAUAUGAUAUACAUUUAUUCAAUAUUACGUCAGAAAAUGUAGGGUGAUAAAUCAAAGCUCAAACUUAGAAAUAUUAUACUGUACGUCUUUUGUCUAAAAAUAUCUCUGUAUGUGACAAACACAAACAUAAACAUAAAAUGAAAAACGUAAAGACGGUCUGGUUAGUGGGUUCGGGUGGAAUCUGAAAAAGGAGAGGGGUGACGAGACUUUUGGCUUUCAGGGUUGUCGUAGAAGCCUAUCGGCCCUUUAUGCCGAAUUGGAGAGUCUUUUAUGGGCUAUGUCUUACGUGAAAGAUAGACAUAUUUUAUCUGUACACUUUCAAACCGAUUACUUGGAUCUGGUAAGCAUGUCUGAAUCUCCAUCGGAUUGGCCAUCAUUCUCAUCGGAUUGGCCAUCAUUCUUAUCGGAGUUGGAAGCCUUCCGCAUUCUCCAGAAAAGCUUCUUGGAUUUCACUCUCUCCCAUAUCCCCAGAAGUUCAAAUGUCCGAGCGGAUAGUCUUGCAAAAGGAGCUCGAGCAAAAUAACGUAUUUUCUCCCAAAUCAUUCAUACCGAACCAGUUGAAGACGGUUUCGGACCAAUCCUUUAACGGGCCAAAUGUGAUGUAAUUGUUGGGUUGUGGAAGAAAAAAAAUGAAAAACGUAAAGAAAAUAAGAGAUUGGUUAAUUUUAAUGACACCAAUGUGAGUGAUGUCCUUCGACAAUUAUCUAAUGGUCAAAUCUGUAACAAGACCAAAAUGUUGAAGUACACAUAAUUUCUCGAACGAAUUGACUUUGUUGCGAGUCUGAUGUUUAGACGACCUGUUUGGCUCUAUUAUGAAUGAGAAAGCUGAUAUGGUUAAUCUCUACGUUCUUCUUAAUUAUAGUGGCCUUGUUAGUUAAUGCCUUCAAACUUUUUUUUUUUAACGUCUGAAUUUGCAUUAACCAAAGGGGAAGAUUAGUACAAAAGCCAAAGGCUGAAAACAGAGCAUCAACCACCUAAGGGAAGGGUUUAAAGAUGCUCCUUCCAUAUUAACGUAAUAAAUCCUGCAACCAUGAAGGUCCUCCUCUAGCCAGGUAAGAAUUGAACCUGCCAUCUCGGGUGACACUUUGAGAGAUCUCCCUUGCUGCUCUAUUGGCUCCCACCGAUUCAUGUUCAAUAGAACAAAAGGUAAAACCGUUGCAUAGUUGGGCAAUAAGAGUGGUCAAAGAGCGGAAUUUCGGCCAGAGAAGAGGUUUAGAGAUUGCCUCUACUACCGAAUGAGAGUCGGAGACUAGCAAAACCUCUGUGAAGUGUAGGUCACACAAGCUUUGAAUUGCCCAGAUAAUACACCGUAGCUCCGCAAUAAUUCUGUUAGGCGAAGGAGUAAAAGCUUCUCUUGCAUGAAAGAGAACCGAGCCUUGAUGAUCUCGGACGAUCCACGCCCCACCACUGUGUAAAACUUCAUUCCUCCAAUUAGCAUGUAAGUUGCACUUAACCACGCCCAGUGCUGGAGGCUGCCAUUUAGAAUCGACAAGAUUAAAGAAAUUCUUGUUACGAUCCACCAGGCCUGAAGGAUCAUGCAGCUUCGACCAAAGCAAAGCUUCUUCUUUAGCCCUCUGUACAAUUACUGCUGCAGACUCCUGUUUGUUUGCAAAGAAUACCGAGUUCCUGUUUUUCCAUAUUUGACUCUUCUUUUCUCAACUUUAACUAAGGAUAUUUAGCAUGCAUAAUUUUUACUCAUUGUAAAACUAAAAAAAAAAAAACACAGAGGAUUUCUUAACAUGCAUGAAUUUUAGGAAAUUUUAUAAAUUUUAAGUUUAGGAAGAGUUCUACGAAAAGGAAAAUUCUUGUUCGAGGGGGUAAAUGAAUGAAUUCACUCCUAGGGAUGAACCCAAGAAUUGUUCUCUACGAAAAUGUACUAAAUCAUUCAAGAGCAUUUCCUAAACUUUAACGAAGCCUUUUCUAACAUAAAAUUUGUACUAGUUUAAAAAUUCUCUACAUUUAUGAUGUUUGUGAAAUAAAAUCUUGCUUUUAUUUUGGUAAUAAUGUACUGUAUUUCUGUUUAAAAUAUAUAGAUUAAAUGGAAAGGUGUAGUAUUAAUGUAAAAAAUUACCAGAUUCCUUUACUUAUUUAGUUCUCUCAUAACUCCCAUUUGGUUAAAUGUAUAUGCAACAACGAACCAUAAUUAGUACUUCUAGAUUUAAUUACCAUACUUAUAUAAAUAGUAUCUCGUACCCCAUUCCAACAUUAUAAAUACACCAUCUUUUCUCUUUGUCUGUCCUUCUUUAAGAUCUUUCUCUCUUAUCUUUGUUAGUGGAAACUUCAAAAGAAAGAAAGCCAAAAAAAAAAUGUUGCUUACACUAUUAAAAUCACUCCUCGUGAUAUUCGUGACCUUGAUAUUAAGAGUUCUAUACGACACCAUAUCAUGCUACUGGCUAACACCUAGGCGAAUCAAGAAGAUCAUGGGAAGGCAAGGCGUAACCGGUCCUAAACCGCGUCCUCUAACCGGAAACAUCCUUGAAAUCUCGGCCAUGGUUUCACAAUCCGCUUCCAAGGAUUGUGACUCUAUUCACCAUGACAUCGUCGGUCGCCUUUUACCGCAUUACGUCACUUGGUCCAAACAAUACGGUAUGAUCUUAUAAUCUUAAUUAUAAAACUCGGUUACAUGUAAAAUAUUGAUUAAACCAAACGUCAAUAUAUUGCUCCCUUGGCUUGAACAGGGAAGAGAUUUAUUGUGUGGAACGGGACGGAUCCUAGGCUUUGCUUAACGGAAACGGAAUUGAUAAAGGAAUUGCUUAUGAAGCAUAACGGUGUAAGUGGAAGAUCGUGGCUACAGCAACAAGGAACCAAGAAUUUUAUUGGUCGUGGUCUCCUUAUGGCUAAUGGCCAAGAUUGGCACCACCAACGUCACCUUGCUGCACCGGCAUUUACCGGAGAAAGGCUCAAGGCACGUCAAGAAAUUAACCUCAUGCACACAAAAAAAAUGCAAAGUAACUGACUGUUGAAUGACUGAAAUACCCUUUACGAUGCAGGGCUAUGCAAGGCACAUGGUGGAGUGCACGAGCAGGCUAGUGGAGAGGUUGAGGAAAGAAGGAGGAGGAGAGGUUGAGAUAGGGGAGGAGAUGCAUCAGCUCACGGCUGAUAUUAUAUCGAGGACGGAGUUUGGGAGCAGCUUUGAGAAAGGCAAAGAGCUUUUUCACCACCUCACCGUCCUCCAGCGCCGUUGCGCUCAAGCCACCCGCCACCUCUGUUUUCCCGGCAGCCGGUUGGUUUUUCUUCCUCACUCAAAAGUUUCUAGUUUUUUAUAUACCAAUGUGCUUUUCAAUUAUUAACAAUAUGCAGAAAUUCCAAAAUAUUAUAUAUGUGAAUUCGAUACCAUCGAUUUGAAUUACCGAACUAUUUAUUUUAGGUAUUUGGGUUGUGGACAAAAUAAAAAACAAUAUGCAGGAAAAAUUCCAUUAUAAUAUACCAACUAAAAUUUUUAUUAUCAUUUAAAUACACCAAUUUUAAUGUAUUAAAAAAAAAUAUUAGUUAGUUAACUAAAAGUAUACUGCUUUUUGUUCACGUAAAAUUGUAUGUGGUAAUUUUUAUUUUUGUUAAUUGUGAACUUAGUGAUUUUAGAUUUCGAAACUUAGUUUGUGCUUUGAUGUGUCAUUCCCGGGUUUCAAGCAAUUUGUUUUUCUAUGUCGAGCACAAGUAUAUAUCACCCGUUUACUCUCUAACAUGUUUUGUUUCAAAUGACUAUUGCUUUAAAGUUGACCUUAAUUAGUACAGUCAAACCUUGACUUGACAUGGAAUAUUUUGUGUCUAUAGGUUUCUUCCGAGCAAAUACAACAGAGAGAUAAAGUCUCUGAAAAAGGAAGUGGAACGUUUGUUGAUAGAGAUCAUACAAAGCCGGAGGGACUGCGCCGAGAUGGGCCGGAGCAGUACUCACGGCGAUGACCUUCUUGGCCUUCUCUUGAACGAAAUGGAUAGCCAAAAGAACAAUAAUAAGGAUAACAACAAUCUUCAGUUGAUAAUGGAUGAAUGCAAGACGUUCUUCUUUGCUGGUCAUGAGACCACCGCAUUGCUCCUCACAUGGACAAUGAUGCUCCUCGCCGAUAACCCCUCGUGGCAGGAAAAAGUUCGUGAUGAGGUCAGAGAGGUAUGUGGCUGCGACGGUCUUCCCUCGGUUGAUCAACUAUCCAAGCUUACCUCGGUACGUAUUUUCACUCUUAGCUAGAUACAUGAUAUACAACUUAUAACAUCUAAAAUAUAUUGUUCUUACCCAUUAAUUAGAACUAGAAUUCUAAACCUAAGAUCAAUUCUUCUCUUACAAAUUUUAAUUUUUUUGGUUAGAUCCAUCGAGUCAACGUAGGUGUAAAGUUAUAUUAGGUUUGAAUGGUAGCAUCUUCUGAGUAGAUUCUGAGUAGGACUCGAAGGCCACUAACUCAUACACAUAAAAGAUGAUAUUUGUUGUUUGCUCCAAUUUAAUAAGUAUAUAACUAUACAAUAUUGAAACUAAUUAUUUUGUUUGAAGUAGUAGAAUUAGCUUUAUAAUGAUGAAUUGGUGCGGGUGGGGUAUAAACAUUCAACACAGUAUAGGCAGUGCCACUAACUUCAUAGUGCUUCUUCCAUAUCUAAGCUAAUAACAUAGUCACCAAGUCGACACAGAAACCUAAUGAGUAGAUCAUAUCUUCUAGUUUUGUCUUCAUGCUUAAUCUUAGCCGAAAUCAAAUAAAAAGCGUAAUAGAAAUGUGUAGGUUUAUUGAUUUCUACAGAUGUAUUCAUUUUGAAUCAGUCGUUACAUUUUUGUAUCUGGUUUUACAUAAUUCACGUUUCGUCUUAGAAAUAGUUAUUUAAAUAAGAUAUGAUUAACAAUUGGUUAAGCUAGCUUUAAAAUUUGAGAAGAAAUAGAGGGACUGGUACAUAGAUUUUCAGGCAUAAACAAAUGGGUAAAUGAUACAUGUCUUUUGUUUAAUGAUUAGCACUAAGACAUGCUUUGCAUAAAAUAUUAUAUAUGCAAAAAAUCUGAAAUCUGUAUUAACUAAUGAUUAGAUUUUGACAGCUUCAUUGAUAGUCUUUUUCAAAAGGAAAAGUCAAUUCUCAAACUAAAAGAUGUUUGAGAAAGAGUCAAGAGGCACUUCGCAUGAUCAUAAGAUAUGAUUCCAAUAUAAAUUAAUAGAAUAUUUCUCCUAACUAUUUUGUCUUUUUUCUUCCCUUAUACCAGUUAAACAAAGUGAUAAACGAGUCACUAAGACUUUACCCUCCAGCCACUCUUCUACCAAGGAUGGCAUUUGAAGAUAUAAAACUAGGUGAUCUAACAAUUCCCAAAGGUUUAUCAAUAUGGAUUCCGGUCCUCGCGAUCCAUCACAGUGAAGAACUAUGGGGUAAAGACGCAAAUGAAUUCAACCCUGAACGUUUUGGAGGUAGACCAUUCGCUCCUGGCCGCCAUUUUAUUCCAUUUGCAGCCGGUCCUAGAAACUGUAUUGGACAAUCAUUUGCGAUGAUGGAAGCAAAAAUAAUAUUAGCGACGCUAAUUUCGAAGUUUAGCUUCACGAUAUCAAAGAAUUAUAGACAUGCGCCAAUCGUUGUGCUUACUAUAAAACCUAAGUAUGGAGUUCAAGUGAUAUUGAAACCAUUGGAUUUAUGAAGACUUUUGGGGUUAAGAGAUUGGUUUUUAAUGCCUUGGUUAAACGCUGGGAGAGGAAAGAUUUUGGGGUUUGUGAAUUUUUUGAGUAACAUGGGGGAUUUUUAUUGGAAUAAAUGCUAUACGAGAGAAUAUAUGCUAUUCUUUUUCCUCAAAAUACAUUUUCUUUUGUGUUUUUUCUUUCUUUUAUGGGUUUUACGAUAUUAUUUAAAAGUGACGAAAACAACUCAACAGCCUUCAUGUUUUUUUUUCAUAUAUGUUAAAAUAUAUAAGCUAUUUCUUAGAAUUUCUCAAAAAUAUACACGUUUAGUAAAACAUUUUAAACUGAUCCAUGGUAAAAACUAAAAAAAAUGUACAUUUGAUGACAUAAAUUUUCGCACUGAUUUCAAAACUCAUGCAUUAAAAUAUUUUUGCUAUGCCAAAAAAAAAAUGGUAGACUAAGUUGGCAUUCGAAGUGAGAAAGCUCAAAAGAAGAUUUCGAACUAAUAUUUAUUAGACUAACAAAUGAUUGUAAUUUUUUAUAGGCCAAAGCUUAUUUGUUUGAUGUUUUAAUUGAUUCAAUUGAUUCAAUAAGGACGAGUUGCAAGAUAUAAAUAAUCUUCUUAGUAAUAAAUUAAUCACAGAAAGAUAUGAAAGGUUGGGAGUCUCGCGACUGUUGUCUUUGUGUAAGGUCAUAUUUAUUUGCUUUUGAGGCUGCAAAAUGGUAUCAAAUAACCUUUUUGGCAUAUGGGCCAAAAAGCAAUUGUCCAUCGAUCCCCUUUUAUUGGGUUUAGAAAGUGAAGUUGAUAUUCAAUAUUAAUAAAAGUCAUCAUGUUAUAUUGAGAUGGGUUCAAUCUAGAUAAGCUUCUAAUAAUAACAAACAUAAAACAAGAAGUAUAAUAAUCAAAGAAACAAAAAAAGUGAUUAGGGAUGGGGGAAAAGGAGUUCAACUUUUAUUUUUGUUGGUUAAGUUUGGUGGCAGCCAUUGCACUUACAAUGACUAAGGUUGAUUCUUGCUUCUUUAUCUUAAAUAUAUUAAAAAGAAAAUGUGGUAGAAGUAAAGCAAUCGGAGUGCAUGGUAGAAAAAGAAUUUUGUAUUGUAUGUCCAUGUGUAGAAUUAGAAAAUAUUGUUAGAAAUUAUAAUAAUAUAACAUAUAUACGCGUAUAUAAAAACAUAUCGUCAUUAUAAUUUUUCUUGAACUGACAAGUCAAAAAAAAUAUCGUCAUACUGUUAGAUACGCUCCAAUAAAUAACUGGAUUGUUGUACAAAUGAUGCAAGAAAAUAUUAAAGGAAUAAUUAUUUGUUCAAUUUUCCGUAACGCAAUCAAUCCGAUGCUAAUUAGUUCUUAGUUGUCAUGAGAUCAGUUAAGCGAUCCCAUUUAGAUCUCUAUGGUCUGUAAUCACUCCGACUACUUGUUUGGAAUGAGAAUUAUGAGUAAUAGUCUUGUAUUCAUAAAAUACACCACAACAAUAUUUUAGCCAAAAAAAAGAAGAAAAUACACUACAAUAGUAUAAACUAUCUAGGAAAUGUAAAUAUUUGUUAUAACAUACACACGCGUAUGCAUCUACAUUUAAAUAGUGAUAUACUGUAUCUUGUUUGACGAAGUUAAGCAAAUAUCCUUCCAGUAUCAAAAGAGACAAAUCUUCGUGAUCAAAUAAGAUUUGGUGGAAAUGUGAAAAUGUGAAAAUGUGAAAAUGCUAUCUCAAAUAUUAUCAAAUACAAAUUAUGAGAACAAAUAUAUAGACGAUUUUAAAAUUUUGAUAGUGUAUCAACUUUUAAUUAAAUAAUCGCUGUACAAUAUUUAAGUGAAAACAAAUUGACAUGACCAACUUUUAACUCGGUCUUAGGUAGAAGUAGAAGAAGCAUGUGCCUCUAACCGCUGUAGUCGAUUCGUAUCUAUUUUACGGACUAGUUUUUGUACAAUGUACCUAUUAGAGAUCAAAUGUUGCUAGUUCUAUUGGAAAUGAGACAAGCCUAUCUCUUUUAGGGAUUCAAAACCCUUAAAUAAAGUUAAAUAUUUUCCAUAUGUUUUUGUACAAUGUAGACCGGUUUUGUUCUCAGUGAACAUUACACUAACAGUGAGCACACCUUCUUCUCAUGUCAAUAUGCCAAAGAAGUCUGGCGUUUAUCAGGAAUGCCUCUGCAUAUCCUCAAGAAUCGAAAAUUUUCAUUGGAAGACAAAGUACGAUACUUGUUCUCUCUACACCGGAAUAGUUGUCUCUGAAACAAACCUGAAACUUCCUUUUUAAGUGCUUUGGAGGCUAUGGAGAAGUCAAAAUGAUCUCCUAUUCAAUCAUCAUAAUAUCACCGAAGUAGAACGAUAAAGAGAGCAACUGAGGAUGCGAAAAAAGGGAUCAGCAGAUCUCCUCCAACGGAGACAUCAUCGUAGACACCGGCCAUAGGACUAGACAAGAGCAAAGUCGAUGGAUAAAACCAAAUAAAGGUUAUAGGUUAAGUGUAAUUAUAUAUGAUGCAUCCCAUUAUGAAGGUAAUCAAAACUCGGGACUUGGAUGGAUUCUUCGAUAUAGCAAUGGAACUUUCUUAGACUAUGUAUGGGUAAGUUUCAAGGGAGAAACACAACUGAAGAAGUAGAAUGUACAUCAAUUAUUUGGGCUAUGCAAGCAACUUGGGCCCUCGGAUAUUGAGUGGUAGAGUUUGAAGGUGAAUAUUUGAAUAUCAACCGUAUUAUCAACCAGAAAAUUACAAACCUUAAACUUCAGCAUUAUAUGGAGGCAAUCAACCGGUGAAGCGAUAUGUUUAAGCAAGACAAAAUUUCCUUUAGGCAUCGUGAGUUGAAUACAUGCGGUGAUAUAUAUGCUAGCUAGGAAAUCAAUCUUGGAUGUAACUCUUUGGUCAAUGUAUCAUUGUUGCCCAAAUUUACUAUAUCCUCUUGUAAACAAAUAUUGUGAAUUUGUGAUUUGCAAAAUCAAUAAAGUUCUUUGUCGGAGGAAAAAAAAAUAAGACAAAUACAUAAUUUAUUUUCAUUUUGGCUACGUUAGAUAACAUAUGCAUGCAUAGUGAGGCUUGAACCUCGAACUUGAUGCAAUAUGUGAACAUCCGUAAGAGGGUACCAGUAAUCAGACAUUAGUAAUCUUGUUUGUAAUAUAGAAAAAUGUUUCAGGUCUUGAUCCUACAAUUUUUUUUCUUGAAACUUGAAAGCUUUAGCUUUUGGUUCAUGUGCUAUAUUAUAUGUAGUACAAAAAUUUGGAUAUCGUCCUAUGCUGGGCUUUAGCGGAAAUAUUGAUUUAUGAGCUCGACUAUUGAGCCCAAUUAAGUGUAUUUUUCCGAAGCCUAUUGAUAUUAUCUGCAUAUAGAGAGACUAGGGUUAGCUCUAUGUAUGCAUGUAAUUUUUUCAAAAUGGACUUACAUACAUUUAAAGUUUUUCAUUUAUAUAAUAAGAUACAUGUAUAAAGAUGCUUUUGAUAAUUUGUUACAAAGGUUUCGCUUCCACAAUUCAGAAGAAAACCCUUUUUUUUUGCUUAACUUAAAACAGAUUUCUAAUGAUUACUUCCACUUGUAUUCUAACUUAGGCGUUUUUUUGCCAUGUGUGAAGUAGAUCCCAUCUUCUCUAGCAUCCCAAAAGUUCUUUUUACCAUAAUGAACUAUGAGACCACCACCUACAUAUCCCGUAAACCCUGCAUGGAACUUGAAAUUAGGUCCUUGCCAUAGAUCACAAAAGAAUUCUGUUUUCAAAACACUAUCAUGAAAACUGAAAUCGUAGGUUUCUCCAGGUCGCAAAUAGUGGAAGCCUAGAUUGUCGUCGUUCGAUAUGCAAUUGAUCUUCAAUAUAUUGUUCCGGCCUAGAGAAUUUUUAAAGAAUACAGAGUUUUUCUCAUUCCACUUUGCGUUACUCAAUCCCAUGCACAAUCCAAUAACGAGCAGAAAACACGAGAGACGAUUCAUUGUUUUGCUCUUCCUUGUUCUACACUUCGUUUAGAUUUAGAAGUAAUUUUUGUAGAUAAUUAGAAGGGGCAAUGUCUUUUUAUACUCUUUUUUACAUGGAUAUUCAUUCUAGCUAUUUUUAAACAUCUUUGUUUUGACUAAUACGAAUCCGGUUUUGCUGUUUUUCUCUUGUCCUUAUCGCUUUUACUGUUUUUGCAUCUAAUUAGGCCAUCUCCAAUGGUUAGCACCUUAAGGAGUGCUUAACCAUUUUUAAAUUAGUAUUUUUGAAGUUUUGUUGUUUAAGCAUUUCUUUUAAGAUGUUAUUUUUUUUCAGGGUCCAAUGGGAGGUGCUAAAAAGGGGUGCUUAAAAAAUUUUUUUUUUAGUUUGAAUUUGCGUCUUCUUCUUUGAUCGUUCUUGUUGUUGUGUCUUCUUCUUUGAUCGUUCUUCCUGAUACCUAUCUUCCAAUGUCUUUGGUUUAAGACUGCAUUGCCUGGCAACAGCAGAAAAAAUAUAUCAUCAAUACAGAUAAGGAAGAUAACCACUGUAUAUAACAAAACCGCUUUUUUCAUACAAACAAUCUGAUCCGAUAGAAUAAUAGAAGCCCCAUCGCCAAUAGCUUCCGGGUAUAUUGAAUGUUAAACCUAUUCUCUAACUCAGAGUGUGAGCAAUAAAGCAACCACUAACACAUAAUGAAUUUGAAAUUGGACCAUCUAUUAAGUACAAAAAGCUUCAGACUCGACGCGGAUAUAACAAACAUUGUUUCUGUUAAUUUGCACGCUGAUACAAUCAAACAAAAAUCAACCACAACACUCUCUUUUUUUAUAGUCAACUAUCAACCAUGAUACUCAAAGCACCAAAUUGCAGAAAAUCCAGAAACAAAAACCCGUAAGCAAAUCCAUUCAUCGGUCAAAAAUCAAUGUUGUCGAAAAUUACAAAAACCUGUAAUCAAAUUUGGUUUCUGAAAUUUGAUUUCCCAACUAACCAAAAUCUUGCUGAGUCUUUGCACUGGUGAGUCUUUGUUUCUGUUGAAUCGGCGGAAUUAGCUGCUUCGACGAGGGAUGAUAUCUCUGAACCAUCGAUUGAUAGAGUAAACAUCAACCUGGGUUUCUCGCCGGAAAAGUGAUGAUAACAAAGGAUUUCUUGCCGGAAAAGAUGGGGAAUAAGCAUGCAUGAAGAUCAAGCUGGGUAAUCUCUCAAUCGGCUCUCUCAAUCGCCAAAAGAAUCGAAGGUCGGCUUUGGAAACAGAAGGAGAAAAAACGACUUGGGACAAAAACGUGAUCGGUGAAGAACAAAGGAAAAAAGGUUAUCCUGCGUGAAAAAAAAAGAAAAAAAAAGAAAAAUUUUAGACCAAUGAGAAUUGAGCACAUCAUCGGUGCUUAAGGGUGCUUAAGUUGCUAAUAGAAGCAUCGAUGCUAAGCUUUUUUUCUAUUAAAGAUUUAUUUUUAAUCUAACUUUUUGAUUAAGCACUCUUUAAGCACCUUCCAUUGGAGCUGCUCUUAAAGAGUAACUAGUUAACUUUCUCGCGCCUUGCGCGGAUUGAUAUAAUUUCCAUUUGAUUGUUUGAAAAUGUAAUAGUAGUUUGGAUUUAUUUAUUUUUUUAUUCUUGAGUAUAUUUGUUUGUUAGUUUUUUUUUUGCAUUUUAAUAUUGGAAGGCAUGAUCGUGAAGACAAUAUAGAAUAGAAGAGAGUAAAUAAAAGCAUAGUAAUAUCCAAAUAAUUUAGUUUAAAUAGUUUUGAGAUAUUUUGAUUACUGUUUUAUGUAUUUUAGACGUAAUUUUUUUAAGGUUCGUAUGAACUUAUUCAAUUUUGAUCACUGUUUAAUGUGUUUUAAACAUCAUAAAUACCUUCAUUCCAUUAGUUAGAUAUAUAGAUUUUCUUUCUUUUAAACUUUUUUGUUAGAGUUUUUUUUUUAAUUUCUGUUUUUGUUUUGUUUUGAAACGACAUUCUAUUACUUUUUAAAUAGUUUUCAUUUUUUUUCUUUUAACAUUUUUGUUAGAUUUUUCUAAAUUUUAAAAACAAAAGAAAUGGUAAACACUAAGAAGUAUGGAUUCUAUUUUUUUAUAAAAAAAAAAUUUUUGUUAUUUUUUUUUUAAAUUUCGGUUAUAUAUAAUUUUAAAAACGGUUUCAUUGACCAUGAAAUUAAAAAUUAAACCAUAUUUAGACUUUUUUAAAAGGUUUUUUACACAUCAUCAUAUAAGAACCAAUAAAAAAAUGACACAUAAUUGCAAAAAGGGCUAAACGGUCUGUUUAUAGCCGAAAUUUAUUUAGGAGUUGACACGUAAGCGAAAAGCUGUGAAACUCGCUGUAAAACGUUUUUUUUUUAAUUCUUCUAAAUUUUGGUUUUAUAUAACUUCAAAAACGACACUCUAAAGCUUUUUAAAUAGAUUCAAUUUUUUGUUUCUUUUAACAUUCUAAAUUUUAGAAACAUAAGAAAUGGUAAACACUAAGAGAUAAUUUUUUUUUAGAAAAACAUUUUUUUUAAAAAAAUUUCUAAAUUUCGGUUUUAUCUAAUUUUAAAAACGGUUUAGUUGACUAUAAAAUUAAGCAUUAAACCAUAUUAAUUUAAACCGGUUCGUUUUGAGUUUUUUUUUUUACACAUCAUCAAUUAAAAACCAAUUAAAAAAUGACACAUAAUUGCUUAAUAUGGUUAAACAGUUUUUUUGUAGUCGAAACUCAUUCUAGAUCAGACACGUAAGCGAAAGAUUGUGAAACUUGUUGUGAACGCGACACGUAAGCAAAUCAGUACACAAAUAAGUAUAUAGAUGAUUUGGAUAUAUAUAUAUAUAUAUAUAUAUUUUUUUUUGGGGUUAAAUGGAUAAAAAAAAUUCAACAUUAAUUUGUGAUAUGCGUCAAUGACUAUCUUUAUAAUGUAAAAAAUCUUAAUAGAACAAAUAAACGCUUUCAUUCCCAUUGUAACAUCAAGUGGUUACGCAAAACAUUUGGGUUUGAAUGGUAACACACCGAACAUAAUGGCAAUAGCUUCCAACUUGCGGAGAACUGGUUCUUAAAGACUUUUAAGUUGCUUUCCGGUUGGGUCGUUUUAUCAUUAUUUCUUUUGUUUCUUCGGUUUUAAGAAUGUUAUCAUUGCAUCUUGACAUUGUGAGUUGAAAAACUCAUGGUUUAGUCGAUGGACUGAAUUUCGAGUUGUUUUUUGUUUCCAUGUUUAAUUUUUUUUUUGCCAUGAGACCAAUUUCAUUGGUUAAAGCAUCUAUAAAAUCUAAACCGUUCAUUUUUAAUGAUAUUAACAUCUUAGCCAAAAAAAAUAAAAGCAAUAGUGGCAAUAGAGUUCCUGGAUUUGAAAUGACAACAGUGGUAUUAUCUCAUAUCAUCUUAACUCGAAUUUUUUAGUCCUCUGUUUUUUACUUUCUUUUGUUAUGUUCCUAAAUUUUUUUUUACUAUUCUUCUGUCUUCUUGCUUUAAGAGUGUACAUGGCCAUUAACGCUCUCAUAACUCAUAAGUUAUAAUAGUGACGACCUUUGAUUAUAUCAAUAAUAAAAUUUUCGAGUAAUGUGUAACGGAACAUUGUGAACUUAUAAACCGAUUCAGACUAAGCCCAAUUAAUUGUAUAUAAUAAACAUAAGGUCCAAAAACAUUAUAAUGUAGGUCAUGCGUCUGAUUUCUUUUCUCCCAAAAGGAAGGAGACAAAACCCAUAUGGCUCAAGUGGAGACCAGUAACCAUACACAUUCACUCAUUUUCUUACAAGAAAAGAUAAGAUAAUGGAAUUUUCUGACACGUGGCCUUAUCAUAGUGGUCCGUGACGAUAAGGGUGUCAACACCUUUCCUUAAUCCUGUGGCAGUAAACGACGUUAUCAAGAAUCAUGGACCCUUUGAUCAAUAGGGCUUUUUGCCUCUAGCCGUUCUCACUAUAUAUAUAGAUGAGUAAAGCGAUAGACAAACAAGUAAGUAAGAGAAAAGAGCAAAAGAAGAAGAAGAAGAAGAAAUAGUAAUGGCUUCCUCUAUGCUCUCCUCCGCCGCUGUUGUUACUUCACCGGCUCAAGCCACCAUGGUCGCUCCAUUCACCGGCUUGAAGUCAUCCGCUGCAUUCCCAGUCACCCGCAAGACCAACACCGACAUUACUUCCAUCGCAAGCAACGGAGGAAGAGUUAGCUGCAUGAAGGUAAUUAAAUGUCACUAUAAGUUCAUAUAUAUAUAUAUACGAAAUCGAAGUAAUAUUAAUUGGAAAUGUUAUUUAUAGGUGUGGCCACCAAUUGGAAAGAAGAAGUUUGAGACUCUCUCUUACCUUCCUGACCUUACCGAAGUUGAAUUGGCUAAGGAAGUUGACUACCUUCUCCGCAACAAGUGGAUUCCCUGUGUUGAAUUCGAGUUGGAGGUAAUAAAAAUCGAAAAUCAUAUACAUAAAUAUUUAGAGUAGCUUGACCAUAUGAAUCUUGCAACGAUCUUAAAACUGUUUAGAGGUCCUAUGCAGAAUCUUGAUUUAUAUGUACAUAUUUGAAAUGUUCUUGAAUGGUUUUUGUAAUGUGUUUUGUAGAACGGGUUUGUGCACCGUGAGCACGGAAGCACUCCCGGAUACUACGAUGGACGUUACUGGACAAUGUGGAAGCUUCCUUUGUUCGGAUGCACUGACUCAGCUCAAGUGUUGAAGGAAGUGCAAGAGUGCAAGAAGGAGUACCCCCAGGCCUUCAUUAGGAUCAUCGGAUUCGACAACACCCGUCAAGUCCAGUGCAUCAGUUUCAUCGCCUACAAGCCACCAAGCUUCACCGAUGCUUAAGUCACUUUCUCUUAAAUCAUUCAUAUAAUAUUCUCAUUUGCAUUUCCAAUUGUCUCUGUUUCUUUUUUUCUUGGAUUUCUGUUUCUGAGACAUUUUCUAUCGAUCGGAUUGUCAAAAUGUCUGAUUUAUGAAUAUGUAAUUUAUGUUUCCCUCUUCUCCUUCUUGCUUAUUUUCUGAUGGUUAUUAGUUUUUAAAAAAUUACUGGGAUAAGGAAACAGACAAAAUCACGUCACACAAAGAAAGGUUGGAUAGUGUUAGUGGUAAUUUGUUAUAGGAAUAGGAAAACAUUAUUACCUAAAGAGCUUAGAUUUCAUAUGAAUAAUUAGUUCAUCAAAUAUUCAAAUAAGAAUCAUUGUAUCAUUUUAUUUUUGGAUGUCACAAUCACACAGUAUAAUAUGUACUUGUAGAUUUAUUAUAGAUUUCAAUCAUUUCAUAAAAUAGUCAUCUUUUGAUGUUUCACACUUCUUACGUGGAGUUUAUGAUAUGAUUUAUACCUAUACUCCAAAUUACUGGUAAACUAUCAUUGGAAUAUACGAUACACUAUAUAUACAUAUAUAUCAUAUAUAUAUAUAUUUACUCUAGAUACUAAUGACAUAUGUCAAUAGUUUUAGUAUGAAAAGCUAACUUGAGUUUUUUUUUUUAAAUACUAUUAUAGUAAAAAAAAAUUAUAGAAAGAAUGUAUGUAAAUUCCAGUUCAUACACGGAUUUAAUAUUUCAAAGGAAAGGAUGGUCCACUUGAAAUCUGUGAUAGACACUUUUGUGGACGGUGCAAUACAUAAGAUAGGCUUGUGGAUAAGAGUGAAAAUUCCCUUCUAUAAUUUUCUUAGUGAUCUUUAAUCCAUGCGAAUCAUGCGUGUCAUUCUGCUAUUAGUGUAUAGUAAGUUCAUCGACUUUAUGAAACCGUAAGAAAUCGUCAAUUUAGUUAGUUACGAAAACAUGUUUUUAAUGACUCUUUCAUAAAAUUUUGGAUUUUUAGUAUAAUAAGUUAUUGGUUGCUAGCGAAUGCAUAGAAAUGCACAAUGUACUCAAAAGAUUGGAGAUAAAACAAAAACUCCAAAUUGACUUAGUAAGGCCAAAAAUGAAAUAUAAAAUCAUAUUAACAAAAAAAAGGGGAAAAUAUGGCUCUUUGGUUCUUAUAUAUUAAAUGCAGGCCGAAAAAAUAGAUGAACGUUUAAAGUCUGUAAAUUAAAAUGGAAAUGAAAAAUUGGUUUAUUGUUCUGGAGACGCAAAAAUUUAGUGUAUUAAAAUGGUAAUAGAAAUUUAGUUUUUAUAUCAUUAUGGAGUUUUCUAAGUCCUUUCGCGAUUAUCACUUCCACAUCCGGUUCUUUACUUUUUGCUAGAAUGUCAGUGAACCUAAAAUCUACUGCAUUGAUCAUGCAUUAACCAUUAAAUGACAUCCAAAAACAUAUGCUGAUCUUUUGGCCAUUAAACGAUUAAACGGUAUACUUAUUAAGUUUAUCAAGAAGACAAGAGUGAGCGGCCAUUACACGGCACCCAAUAUAAUGAUGUCUUUACCAAUCACGUACAUCAUGCAUGCCUUGUAAUGAAUACUACUCCCUCUGUUCAGAAUUAUUUGAUGUUUAAAGUUUUUGCACACAGUUUAAGGAUUCAUUUAAUUUUUAUUUUUUCUAUACUAAAAAAUAUAAUUUAUAAUCUAUUUAAGUAUCAUUCAGCCAAUAAAAAGACAUUCUGCAAAAUAUAAAAUGUCAAAAAUUAUAAAAAUUCAAUAAAUUUUGCAUUAAAAAGUGAAAACAUCAAAUAAUUCUGAACAAAAAAACCUUCUAAAACAUCAAAUAAUUCUGAACAGAGGGAGUAUUAUUUAUAACAUGAUCUAACCAUUAGUUAUUUACAGUCCAUUGAUCCUCAUCCCACUAACAUUUCGAAAUAUUAUACGAAGUAAAACUAUAUUUCUGAUUCUGUUAUAUAAUAUGUGUUGUACUUUUUAAGUUCAUGUCUAAUUAUUGUCUGUUUUGGAUUCAAAUGGUAAAAUCCAUAUGAAUAUAUUUUUGAAUUCCUUCCCAAAAUGGGUUUUACUAAUUACUAUUAGACAUAAUUUAUAUAUUAGAUAUUCUUUGUCUAAAUUUCAAAUGUGAGAUCUUAAAUUAAUUGAUUCCCAACAAUCAUUUUCUCAAAAACCAUGGAUCACACAAACCAUUAGCCUCCAACCUCUAGUGAAACCUGGGGCAUCCAUCUUGUACUACCGUAUGCACCAACAAAACUCUUCACAUAAUCUUUACACAACCGUUAGAAAUAUUUUUCACACAAGGAACCGGCACCCCUAAUCGCGAGGUCAUCAUAAAUGUUUUUUCUCCCACAACGAAUAUUCAGCCCACACCCACUUGUCUAAGUCCACAUUUUCCAAAACCUCCAUCUAAAAACCAAUUCUUGGGCUUUUUAAGUCCAUGCCCAAGUAGCAAAUCUCGCAUGGAUAUGUUUUUGUACCCCUUCCCAAAAAGCCUCAUACUAAUUACUGUUGGACAUUGCUUAGAUACCGAAUAAUAUUUGCUUAAAAAUUUUCAAUGUGGGAUUUUGGAUUGAUUCCCAACAAUCAUCCUCUUAAACCAAGGAGCACACAAAACCUUGGCCUCCAACCUCCAUCAAAACCUGGCACCCAUCUUGUACCGCCGUACGCACCAACAUAAUUCUUCUUAUAACUCUUGUGAAACCGUUAGGAAGACUUUCGACAUAAUAACCGACAACCCAUAAUUGCAGAAUCACCUUGAGGGCUCUCCCUCCUACAACAAACAUCUAGUCCACACCCACUUGUCUAGGUCCAUCUUUUCUAAAACCUCGCUUUUAUACUUGUUGUAACAGAUGCAAGAAGAAAACAGUAAAUGUAAAGAUUGUGCACAGAAUCAACGUGGUUCACCAAUGAUGUGUUGGCUACGUCCACGGGCAAAGGAGACUAAUUUUAUGAUGGAGACAUAAAGUUUCAUAAUACAUCAGAAAUUAGGGUAACAUGGUUACUUAUAGCAGAAACCCUAGUUAACCCUAAUCGUAAUUGGGUUCUCUCACUUAGGCUCAUGUAGGAACCUUCAUGCACAAACACCAGCCCAAGUGCACGCAGACUUCUACAUUGCUAACACUGGUUGUAGUCUUCAAUUACACAACAUGUAGAUCUCAACAUCAGCUUCUGGAUGCAGAACGUUACAUUCAACUAUUUGCUCAAACAGAUUGUAAGCUUUAGUGCAGCGUGUAAACCUACACACACAACCUCAAGAUGCAGCAUGUAAGCUUCAACAUACUGCAAGUAUCCUGCAUGCUGCCAGCAUGCUUGAUCGUGCAGCCUGCAUGCAUCUGCAGGCAUCAACACCAGGAAGCUUCUAUGCUUCAGGAUUCAAGACAUAUCAACAAAUCUCCACCUUGACUGGAAUCCUCCAAGAAGCUUCUACGCAUUAGGAUUUAAGGUGUAUCAACAAUACUAAUUUUUGGGUUUUUCAAGCCUAUGUUCAAUUUCCCGUUAGUAUGAUAUUGUCCGCUUUGGGUCCAAGUGUCAAAAUUCGCAUGAGUUUGUUUUUGGGUUUCUUCCUAAAAAGCCUCUUACUGAUUAUUAUUGGACAUGACUUAUAUAUUAGACACUGUUUAAAUUUCAGAUGUGGAAUCUUGGAUUAAUUCCUAACAAUAUGUGGAAACAGAGAAGUAUCCAUGGUGUUCACAGUUCAGAGAUAUUUAACUAUUAUAAUUUCAUGUGUUUCACCCCAAAAACAAAUUGAUAAUGAAUGUAUUGGCUAAUUCCCUUGUAUAUCACUUUAAUUUGUGUCAUCUUACUUUAAAUGUGAGAUUUUCGUAUAUGGAUUGAGUAAUGAUUUUUAUGAUGUGAUCAGAAGUUUUAGACAAGCCAUUGAUGCUUAGGAACCCUGUACCUCUCGUACCAAACAAACCAAUGACGAGGAACCAUGAGCAUAGCUUAUAAAUAGCCACUAACCAGUAUGUGUAGCACCUAAUGGAUGAUGUCAAGAGGAGCCAUACCGUGCCAUCCUUGGCCCAAUUGAUUGUGGACGGAGACGAUAAUUCCCAAAAAAUGGAGCAUACCAAAUCUUGGUAAGUCCAGACCAUUGAACAGGCCCACCAAGAUCAAAUAUCAGAUUAACGUAGCGAGGGCGAAUGUGAUCCUUUGAUGUAUCUAGAUAAUAAAUCAAGUGAAAAUUCCUCAGACUAACGUUUAAGGUUAAUGAAAUGACAAACCUAACCUAACAUAUUGAAGAGCUUACUAGACUAACCUUAUAAAGUUGGUUUAGGUCCAUUUUAUCCAGAUGUUGAAUAUUAUUACGAAAAUGCUAUUAUGAUUUUUUUUUUUAUAAAUUUUUUUUUUUUCGAAAAAACUUUAAUUUCGAAAAAAUUUUUAAAAAAAACUCGAAAUUUUUUUUGACGAAAAAAAAACAUUUUUUUAAAACGAAAAAAGCAAAAAAAAAAAAACAAAACCAAAAACUAAAAAAAAAGAGUUAUAUGAAUAUCUACCUAUAGAUAACUCGAAAUUAGUUUGUCAGAAUGAACACUGCUUUAAGCGUACUGUUUAGAAUAACUAUCCCACAUUACCCCUACUCUGACGUAUCUGGAUAGGGUCUGCGAUAACUGUUAUAACACGUUUAGCAGAUUUAGUUGUCGCAGUGGACCCCUACAUUACUGGCGUUUAUUGUUGCUUUAGGCAGAGAAAUUCUCGGGAAGAGUGGGAACUUUAAAUUUUGAAUGUUAAAUAUUUAAAAUAAUCUGGAAAAUAAAUUUUCAGGUUUGGGUGGAAGACGAGAAAUUUCCUACGCUAGGGUUUGUAAUCUCCAUUCAAUACCCAUAGAUAACGGCGAAAUUGUGAAGAAUUUCAUUCCCACCAAACGAUGGGUAGUUCUGACCACAACGAUGACGAGGAAACGCGAUCAGAAUCCAUGUCCGAAGAGGUAAAUUUCGAACGAUUAGAUGUAGAAUUACAGUUCAUUCGUUUUCGAGGUUUAGGUGAGUGGUUAGGGGAAUUGCAGUCCGAUUAACUCAUGAAUCGUAAUAUCCUGUAUAGAUGGCCGACUCUGGUCUUCCCCAACGGAUCUUCAUCCCUGAAGAAGUCCCCAAGGGAGACUGUGUGAACAUUUACCAGAAGAUGACGGUUAUAUCUGACAUCGAUGCCGCUUUGAGUCAGACAGAGAGGGAUUUUAUGAAGGCAUCUCAGUUUGGAAAACUGUUCGAGUUUGCAAACCAGCCUGCUUGGUCCGGCGCAUUCGGUUUGUUCACCCUCACCAGACUUCUUGACGUGAAGAAAGAAAACGAGAUCUGGCUGGUAUUUGCAGGGAAACCGAUUCGAUUCUGAAUCGGGGAGUUUAAAAUAGUGUCCAGUUUGAAAUGCGGGAAAUACCCAACAAGUCAGAAGAAAAAAAGGAGACUGCAUGUUGUUCCCGAGUACUUCAAGACUCUAUUCGGUGAUGAGAAGGAAGUCCCAGUGGAACGACCAAUCGAGAUAUUGCAGAAGAAAACUAGUUUAGAGACCCGGUUGAGACUGCGAUACGCGUGCCUUGCCAUAGUGGAUGCCUUUCUAAUGCCUUCUGUUCAUUUUUCUCGGUCAAAGGUGAGCAUGGAUCACGCCGAGAUGGUUGAAGACCUUGAUGCAUUUCUGCAGUACCCCUGGGGCCGGUUAUCCUUUGAUGUAAUGAUGAAUUCGAUAAAGGGCAGGAAUUUAGCACAGAUUUUAACAGCUAACAUUACUGUCGGAGGUUUGUUCCCUGCCUUACCAAUGGUUGUUUUAGAGGCCGUCCCUGCCAUUCAAGAAGAUGAUGACUCAUCUGAUGGGGAAGACAGUAGCCCAAGCAGGGGCGGUGCUCGCUUGCGUCCGCAGAAAGUUCAGCUUCAGUUGAAUAAAGCUAGAGUGCUUGACGAAGAUGAAAUGGUACGAAGUAAACCCUCUUAACUUGCUAAAUAUGUUACAAACGGUUUACUAGUUAACUGUUUACAAUUGCGAUAACUCUAUUAUCUUGCUUAUAAUGAACUUGUAUGCUACUAUAUAUUUGUUAGCUAUGAGACUUAAAUUAACCUGUAACAACUACGCUCUAGGUUUAGUAAAUUACUGUAUUCAACUGAAGUUGUCCUCGUUGGAACUGAUACUUAGCAGUACUAAGUUAUCAUUGAUAUAUAUGAGUAAGUUGUUACAUGAUAACAGGAUUUGAUGUGAUAAUCUGGAAAUGUGUUUAGUGUAUCGGAUAAUUAGUUUACCAUGUAACUGUUGGUAAUUGUAGUGUAAGUUAUCAUUGUUGGAUAUGAAAUUCACAAUUAUUCACUAUAUCGGUGUUAGAUUCGAUAUAGUGAUUCGAUCUUAACAAGAGUUGAUGUGCUCACUCUGAGGGAUUAGGCUCCUUUUUUGAUAAGUCGGUUAACCUGUAACAUUGUUUGGUUUAAUACUCAGUUAACAUGUAACAUUGGCCUGUUGCUGUAUUAGUUAUAGUGAUUGUUUAUGAUAAGUUACAAUACGUACGAUAUCAUUUUUAGAUAUGAUAAUAUAGUUGCCUGAUAACAAAAUUUGCAGUGUGUAUUCAGGGUAGCAUGUAACAUUUAACAGUUAGCGGCUAACAUACGUUUAUAAUUAUUGCGUUUGUCAAGGUCGCGGUUAACUCUAUCAUUCGGCCUGAUUUCGAAAUCAGCGACGGCGAGGAGGAUCUAUCCUGGAGCGAAGAUGAACAUGACGAAAGGGUCGACCAUAUGAUUACUCUUAUUAAUCAAGGAUUCGAAUUUAAGUCUGAAAUGUUUGGCCCUGGCAUUGAUCCUGAGUUUUUAGCAGCUCGUACAAGUUCUCGAAGGGGUGUUAAGAAGACAAAGAUUGUUGUUGGGAAGAAAGGUAAAGGGAAGAUGAGAAAGUCUGGUAGAAGUCGAGUCACAAACGUUGCACAUGACACUGACAAAGGAGUUAUGUUUUUUGAGGAGAAGUUGAAGACAAUGGUUUCAAAAAUCGUACAAGAAAAUAACAAGAAGAUAGAACAUAUGUUUGAAGCCAACAAUGUGAAGAUAAUUAAGGGUGUGACCCAGUGGUUUCUUGAUAACGCAGUUAUCGACCGCGAGGUCAAUAUAUGUCCAUCAUUCUCGGGCCUUAGCGCCGGUAAGUCAAGGUCUCGCAAGCAACCCCCUCCGAGCACUGCAAAUAAAUCGGGGGAAUUACCUUCGGUCCAAUCCGGAGCGCACCCUGAUGGUCAGGCCAAACAAAACUGCGACACUUCAUUUCCUAACUUAGACUUCUCCUCCAUGCCGACGGUUGACGAGAUUGUUUCCACAUACGCUCCCAGAGCUGAUGAUGCCACCAACACUGCAAGAGUUGGUAAGGGUACCGUUGACCCCAUAGGGGAAUGCAGUGUCGACGCUGUUGAUGGUGAGCAGGUUAUGACGCAUAACCCAGGCGAUGAUGGUGUCGUUUUGUCAGAAACCCGGCCUGAGAAGGUAGAAUUGUCAUGCCAAUUUAUCGGAAAACAUAGUGGGUGUCUGUAUAACGUAUCCAUAUUAAUGUGUUUGAUAGGACAAUGAUGGCGCCUCUCUCCCUCAAUUCAACCCACAAAAUGACGUGCCGAAGUCGUCAGAUGGUGUGAAUUUGCAGGAGGAGGUAUUUGCUUUAAGUUUUAGCUUUAAAUUUGAUGUUUUUUAUUUGUUCACUAUGCUCUAUUAAUCCGUGAAAAUAAUUACAUAGGAAAACCCUGAACAUGACGAUCCCUUGAAAUCAGGCCCUAAUUAUGUGCUAAUCCCCCCGGUGGGAGAGAACUUUAUUGAUGAGGUACAUGUUCCCGUUAUUACCCUAAAUUAUAGUCUUUAUAACCGUUUAUUAGACGCUAUUCUAGUUAUGUUGCAAUGCGGGAUUUCAAAGAUAAUUGUGAGCAAUUGAUAACCCGGUUACCACGGUAUGUAUAUUUUGGAUCACAAAUCCAACAUAUAGGGGCCAUAACUGUUAUAUAACUUAUAGAACAUGGGUAAUUUGAUUUACACUUAUUUCAAUGUUCGUAUAUUUAUAUUUUUGUCUUUGCUACGACCAUGUAUGUAGGUCGAUGGUGUUGGAGACGUCCAGCCUGAUGAGAUUGUAACCUCUGACAUUCCUGAACCCAAUGCUGUAAUUUCUGCUGGCGAAGAUAUUAUCGAUCCCAAAAAUCUGACUAUAAACUCGGAGGAGCAAGCCAAAGUGGAACAUGUUCAGAGGAGGGUGAGCAAGCGUCAGAGGACUGUAUCGACUCGAUUAGAUAGUCCUUUUCGAUGCGAGAAGCGUAUCAGAACUAUUAUAGAGAAUUCCGAAGCUGUCAAUGAUUCUGAGAAAGCCCUUCAAUAACGGUUUGAUAAAGCUAUGAAAGCAUUUAAGAAGUUAGUUAACUUCUGUUCCUCUAGUUAUAAAGAUUGUACGCUGAAUUGUGUAUUUAAAAAUUUGUUGGCCUCUGGCAUGUGGGGAAGGAAACCUUCUUACAUCGAAGGACCUAAACGAAAUGCUGGGGAGACAGAAACCAAUGCCUGCAAAGGUUUUCACUGAGAUUCUGUAACAAAGGUCUAUUAGCUGCUAACUUUAUUAAAUGCUAACCUAUUGCUUUCGUAUUUGAUUUAACCCAGGUUAUGGAUUCUCUAUGUUUGUUGGGGAGGCAUAUACUCCGCGAAGACAGUCGGCAGCCGAGAGUGGAUAUUUUGGAUUCGAAGUUUGUAUCGAUGUUAACCAAGUUAUACCCGAAGUUUAGCAGGACAGAUCCCCGAGCUGACUUUAAGUUUUCCAAAGCCGUCACCGAGAGACUAAAAGGUGUUGGGGAAGUUGAUCGGUUGCCGCUUUUCUCGGAUGCUGAUAUUCUCUAUCUGCCGUUUAAUCUCGAUAUCAAGCAUUGGGUAUUUCUUGUGGUUCAUCUCUCUACUUGCAAGAUUGAGGUUUUGGACUGUAACGCCAAUCUGCGUACGGAUGCAAGCAUGACUACUGAAAUCCGACCCAUCGCUGAAAUGCUUCCCUGUUUGUUUAUAGAGGUUGCAGAUAACGAAAAGAUGUCUCAGUUGUCUACUACCAAAUAUGAUAUUGAAAGGAUCACUGACGUACCACAGAUAAAGUCAACAAACGAUGAUGGUUUAGUGGCGUACUUCUUAAUGUUAUCUCAUGCCCUUUUCAGCAGAGAGGGUUCUAAGGAGUUCGACCUUACGCACAUUGACUUGGAGGCGAAGAAAGUCGUUACAGUUCUUAUUGAGCAAUACCUAUGAACUUUUAAGGAUUGUUGUUAGUCUUUGGGGACUUCGGUUUUCAUUUUCCUAGAGUUGCGGUGGAUAGACUUCUAUUUACUUUUCGGUUUAGAAACCCGCGUUACGUUGUUGUAUUGUCAGACAAAUUUUAUUUCGUUAUCUGGUUUAUCUUCUAAUUCGGAUUCAAUUUUAUUACGUAUUGGCCAAAAACAUCGUUAAUAGAUAUUUCUAUGGGUUAGAAAUUGCUUUAGGUUUAUUAAGUAAUAACUAAGUCAUCAGUUAAUGAAUACGAAUUACCAAGCAAUUUGUUAUCAACGUUAACGUGUAACCCAAAUAUUAACGGCUAACGUUUGCUUUUAUACGGGAUGACCCAUGUUUGAUUAAUGUUAACAUUUUAUGAUUUAGGGUUUAGGGUUUAGGGUUUAGAAUUUAGGGGUUAGGGUUAGGGUUUCCGCAAUAGGAAAUUGGGUUAAGGGUUUAGGGUUUAGGGUUUGGCUUUAUUUGGGUUCACCAUAUUCGAUAAGGUUUUAAGUUUUUGUUAGUCAGUAAGUAACUGAUUGAAUGCAAAAUAAUAUUUAACUUGGAGUUAGGGUUUACCAUUGAAUCAUUUGGGUUCCCCUAUUUCGAUUAGGUUUUUACUUUAACCGAAACCCGACGCUGAUAUACAUAUUAGGGUGUAAUCAAAUUAUAGGACAUUUCGUGUUAGGGGGUAUCUUUUGGAUUGACGUAUUUUGCUUAGAGUUUUAGUUUUACUUCAAGGGUUUAAAUAUAGACACUAGGGUUUAACCAAGUUAUAGUCAAAUUGGGUUUAGGGUGUAUUUUUGGAACAUUUGGGUUGACCUAUUUCGAUUAGGGUUUUAGUUUUACUCACAGCCGAAAGAGAUCUACACAUUAGAGUGUAACCAAGUUAUCGAAAUAUUGGUGUUAGGGGGUAUAUUUGGAUCAUUUGGGUUGACUAUUUCGAUUAGGGUUUAGUUUAGGGUGACUUAGAUACUCAUAUAACACAUAAACUUAAGUGACAGCCGAAAAAAAUAUACACACUAGGGUGUAUCUAAGUUAUAGUGUAAUUUGGUUUAGGGGGUAUCUUUGGAACAUUUGGGUUGAACAAAUUCGAUUAGGGUUUUAGUGUUACUCACAUUCGAAAGAGAUAUAUACAUUAUAGUGUAACCUAGUUAUACGAUAAGUGGUGUUAGGGGGUAUCUUUGGUUCAUUUGGGUUGACCUAUUUCGAUUAGGGUUUUAGUUAUACUCACAGCCGAAAGAGAUAUACACAUAAGAGUGUAACCAAGUUAUAGGAUAAGUGGUGUUAGGGGGUAUCUUUGGAUCAUUUGGGUUGACCUAUUUCGAUUAAGGUUUAGUUUAAGUGAAAGCCAAGAAGAUAUACAUGUUAGAGUGUAACCAAGGUAUAGUUAGGGUUUAGGUCGCGUAAUAACAGAAAAUAAGUAGUUCAUUAAAAGAUGCUCGGAGUUAGCUGGUACAUACGUUAUCCGCGAUAGUACAUAGUCGUCUUUAAACAUUAUUAAACUCGACGACAAACUACUACACCAUUCAAGACUUAUCAUACAUAUUGAAAUUAAGAGAUAACCCCUAACAUUCUAUUCCUUUGGACAACAAAAUGUGGAUAGAAUGAUAUGCAUCCAGCCGCCAAAAAUAAACCCCUUCCUUAGCACCAUUUUCUGACUAUUCUCCCUGUAUAAAAAGAGUAAAAAUUACAGAGUCACCAUAAUAUGUUAAUUGUUUAGAAGAAGAUGGUUUAUACCGGUAAUGGGGUCUUGCAGGUUGAACGGUUGUGUCUACGUCCUCGGCAUCUUGUGCAUUUUCUUCUGGAAACUCGCUGAGGUUUACAGGUAUAGGAAGUUAUGCGCUAAUCGAGUUACCGAUUACAUACUUCCUACUGAUUUAAAGAGGUAAAGUAUUUUGUACCUUGAAUUCUCCACGAGACAAUAUUCUCUGCUUUCGUGGCUUGCCUGGGGGUCGACGAACCGCUGGAGGUGCAAGUUUUCCUCCACCGACAUCUUCCGGUCGUGGAGCCAAAUGAUCCAUAUCAGGGACUGGCAUUAUAACCUUACCAUAUGCCAACCUGCGAUACUGAGUGGAGUAGUGUAUAUCGACCAAGCUAUCGACACGGACUCCCUCUUUUAUUGCCGCAGCUAUGGCAUGGCAACAUGGUAUGUGUAGAAGUUGGAAUUCCCUGCAACUACAACUCUGUUCCCACAUGGAUACUGCAAAAGCUGUAUCCAUCUCGUCAUGCACCUCGUAUAGUCCAUUUCCUGUAAUGUAAAAUUAGUGUUAGCAGAUAAAGACUACCGUCAACUGUAAAUGUUAACAGGUAAACAAUAUAUCUCAUAUCUUACCUAUUUUCAUGACGAAAUAUCCUGAAGACUUCUGAAAACUUUCAAUCAGCAUCUCUUGAAUCUUGGGAUUCACGACGUCAGUCUCAGUGUUUGCAGAAUCCCUUCUUAUCGCAAACCAAGAUACAAGUGUCGUUCUUAUAGUUUCCAAUAUAGAAAUGAUGGGGUACUCUCUUACCAUUGUCAUGACCUUGUUCAAAGAUUCAGAUAUGUUGCUCGUCAUCACAUUAUAGCGUUCCCCUACGAAAUGCGAUCUCGUCCAAUGCUCAAAACCAAUCCUCUGUAAAUAGUCCGCACACCUCUCGUCGAUCGCUUUAAUUUCCAUAAAUGCCUUCUCGAAAUCGCUAAAACGAUACGCCCUUCCAGCUACAGAAGUAAGAUGACUCAGAUGCUCCGAUUUGAAAUUAGUAACUACAUUUCGUUGUAAGUGAACAAUGCAUGCUCCAUGUGAAGACAUCGGGUACACCUGUUGGAGUCGAGAAAUGGAAACAGUUAGCAAGUUAACCAAUUAUUUAGCGACAUAUUUUGGUUUAUCACUAAUAGAUAUAAAUAUACGGUAACCCUGGAGUUUAGGCGCUAACCUUACGAAUGCUUGCAUAUAUGGAAGCAUGCCGAUCUGAGACGAAGACAAGGUCAUGUUCGUCUGGCACUAUUGCGGUCAGCUUUCUUAGGAACCAUUCCCAAGAGUCGUCGUUUUCACUGUUCACGAUCCCAAAGCCGAGAGGGAAGACUUGGAAGUUACCGUCUUGAGCACUUGCCGCCAUGAGACACCCACCAUAUCGUCCGGUUAAGUGUGUAGCAUCAAAGACAAUAACCUUCCUCAUGUACCUAUAUCCCUGAGCGCACGCAUGUAACGAGUAAAAUAGAUACUUGAAACGGACAACCCCUGAGGCUGAGGUUUCUGUCUCCAAAGCAACAACAGAAUUAGGGUGUGUCGUUAGUAGUUUUUCAAAGUAGGGGGUCACCAACGCAAAGCUUGCUGCAGCACCGCCUAAGGCGUUGUCCAAUGCGAUCUCUCUUGCUCUCCACGCCUUCCAAUAGCUGACGUGCAAGCUGUACUCUUGUCAAAGCAGACGGCGAAGAUCACACGCCCUUGGCCCCUUUAUGUUCAACCCAUAUCUUUCACGAACCAUUUUUCCAAUAACAUCCGUUGAAGCUACUCGGUGGAAAUCACCUCGGGCGUCGACGCUGCAGGUGUGAUUCCUGAUCACAGUUUUGACUUCAAAGCGUAAGCUGUCUUUUAUCUGUGUGGCAUAAAUCCUCCAAGGACAUGUCGGGCCAACGCAACAAACAAUGACGUUCUCAGGUUGUGAAUUGACGGUCUUGAAAUGAAACCUUCGAUUUAUUGCAUGCAGCGCGAGUUUCAACUUGCACUCUUCUUUCGUCUCAAAGAUUCUUCCAACGAAAAUGUCAUCUCCCUCGUACUGUGCAUCACCCAACCCUCUCGCUAUUUCAUCCGCUAACCAGUGUAAACAUUUAACCCAAUUAGCUAGAUAGCAUUUACAAUUCAUGUAAACUUGAAACAGACAUAAAUAUUGUUUACCUCCGAUAAUUGGGUCAUCGAAAUAUGGAGGUGCAUCCCUUUCGUGCAACGCUGGCUCUACUCUUGGUUCAGCGCCAACAGCUGGGGUGUGAAGCAAUAUUGGGGGAUUACCGGACAAUGACACGGGGGGGGGUAGGCAAACUGUGGUGUGUUUGCAGUUAAAGUUUGAUGUGUAGCCGGUAACUGUGAGAUGUUAGAUGCUACAUCGUUUCCUAUUGCUCCUAAUGGAUAAAUGUUAGUCGCUAGCAAAGCUCGACUCGGCCUUGAUGACCCACCAACUUCACGAGAUAGUAUUCCGUCUUCGGUCAUCACUCGUUUCUCUUUAUCGGCACCCGUAUUCUGCACAUCAACAGUCUGUUGCUCCAGAGCCGGUGCUUGAAGCAUUGGAUCUGGUUCCGGGUUGUCGUACAAAUGUGCGAUCAGAUCCUCUCCUGAAAUGGUACAUGACAAUAUAACAAUAUCAGGCAAUGUAGGAAAUAUUUACUACUAAUUUUUGUUUGAAAAUUAUGGCUGUUUUCAUACCUAUGAGUGACAUGCGGAUAUCAACCUCCUCCGCCGACAGAAGCUCUUCCUCAGAGAAUACAUGGCUGCUUGAUGAAGGCGUGGUAGAAGUCGAGGAAGAUGAAGACUCUACAACCGCUAUUGCCGUUUGUGUUGGUAUAACACAGUCUUCAGGUUCAUCAUCGAUGUAUGCACAGCUAAAGUUAGCUGAAGCCCUGGUUCGCGGCAAGCUGUUUGGAUCGUAGAGUUCUUUGGUGGUGCAUCAAUAUCCAUAUCUACAACUUUGUUUGUUACAGUGUUAACAGCAUCGUUAACUAUUUCCUCAGCAGCCCUCCCAAAUGGUCCUGGUGGUCCAUGAAAGAAACGCCAGAGCUCUGAUAGAUCUCGAGGGAGGAUAGUUUCUUGUUCUCGGCAUUCAAGAGUUGCGGCCGUUGAGAGUUCAACCAUAAUAUCUGAAACCAUUCAUAAAAAAAAAAGGAUAUGUAAGUUUCAUAUUACUGAAAGUAGUGUUUUGAUAAAGGGUGGUAAUGCGAUACCUUUUCCUUUUGACGAAGGGUUGGUAUAAGCAGCAAUUGUAGCCGAGCGGGCAACGUGUGUGAUAGUUAUACCUCGCUCACCACUAUUAGGAAAAGAGGUGUAGGAAAAAACUGGCCUCACAGGUGUGUUUACAUUACUUGGAAAACCUGUUCAAUGUUGUAGUAGAAAGACUUUUUAGUGACAAUAUUAUCCAUGAAUGUUAUUUAUUUUCUUCAGAGAUAUAGUGGAAUACCACUUAAAGGUGGUAGAACUGUCCUUGGACUGUCUGUUGGUGAUGAUGUCGAGGAGUAUUGCGCACCAUAAGGAACAAUGGACAUUUCACUUAGUAGUUGGUCCCGUGCGCUUUCUUUUUGCUUUAAUAAAANNNNNNNNNNNNNNNNNNNNNNNNNNNNNNNNNNNNNNNNNNNNNNNNNNNNNNNNNNNNNNNNNNNNNNNNNNNNNNNNNNNNNNNNNNNNNNNNNNNNUAAGUUAGCGUUUAAAUCAAGUGUUUCUGCAUUCAUAUUUCCAGUAAUUUUCGGACUGUCACGGUGAACCCUAACUCUAAGGAACACCUCAUCUAUGUCUGCCUUGAUCGCUAAAAAUAGAGCAGUAUCUUCAUCAUUCAAAAUGAGGAUAGGUGCUGCUUUACGCCAAUCAGGUCCCAGGAUCCAUCUCGGCCAAACGUAUGUCACCUCGACCUUGUCUUCCUCCACCAGUUUCAAACCGAUUUUGAUUACAUUUGUCAUCGAUUAGAAAGACUCUCUCUCGUUCAUUUCGACCGAUGCGUGUAUGCCGAUUUCGUCUGGUUCAUGGAUCCAACUCGCAUCACUUUGUUUUUUCCACACCCCUCGAAUUACGGAGACAUGUAGAGUCAUCGCACCUAAUUAUGUGAACAGAAAAGGUGAUGAUUAGAUAACUGAGAUAUCGAGAUUUGACGAUACUUUUGACAUUAUACAUAACCUGGUUAUAUGUAAGUUCGAAAAAACAGGGAUAACUAAGGAAAAAUACAGAGAAGUUACCAGCUGUAAUCGGAAAUCCAAGACCUUCCACCCUUAUUCAAUGUCCUCCAGAACCUGUUACAGAAGAAAACGAGGUUGCUCUGUAAUAAAUGAAGUAAAGAGUUGUGUUUCACUUUCAUUAACGCCGAUGCUUUAAAUAGAGGUCUAACUAAUAUUAAAAUAAUUGUUAUCGAUUAAACGUCACUAUUAGAGACAUUAGCGGCCAUGCAAUAAUUAGAUAUUGGGAAGAGAAGAAAUCCUUGUGUCAGGCGGCGGAUUUUCUCCAAAUAAACCUGCAGAAUCAGAACAUUAAAUGCUAUGUCGGGUAAGUAUAGCCUCCCAAAAUAUCGCUGGCCUUUUUGAGUAGGGGCAAAUCGGGGAACGAAAAAUUUUGUCCACAAUCUCUUCCCAAUUUAUUUUUAUAGUUACGUACAAACCUAAUUAUCUCCUCAAUUGUUAGUUUAUACCCAAGUCACCCAAAAAAAAAACCCUAAUUCAUCUUCUUCUCUCUCUCUUUCUCCUGCGCCGUUUUUUUUUCUCCCAUGGAGCUGCUCUUCUUCAUAACUUGGCAGCCUCCCUUUUUUCACAGCUUUCUCUUCACAGCUUUCCUUUUGUUUCACAGAUCCACACAGUUCUUGCCUCAAUCGCCGUUCAGAAACUUGUUCAGGUUUGUUUUUUUUCUUAUAUAUCCUCAUUUUUCUUAUUUUUUCUUCUUUCUUCUUCGUCUUCCUCUUUCCCUUCAUCUUCUACUUUCUGUUUGGCGGAGGAGGAGUUUUACUGUUGGUGUUAGAGAUUUCGGAAAUAUUGGCACGACUCUUAAGCGGCGUUCUCGCCGCAUCGCGCACAACCGCACUGGACAGAUGUUGUUUCGAAGAAAUGGUGGUGUCACGGAGGUUGACGGCGGUGUAAGUUUUUUUCUGUAAAACCCGCAACCCUAAUUUUUUUUGUUUCAGGUAAGUUUGGUAGAUAUAUUUGGAAAACGAUAAGUAGUUUGGUAGAUUUAUUGUAUUUUUUUGUUGUAAAGUUCAUAAUAUGUGAAAAUUAGUUUUUUUUAACAAAGGCAAAAAGAGUGUUUUGGGUAUGCUAGGUUAGUUUUGUAAAAAAAAUAAAAGUGCGCAAAACAAAUAAUAUAGAUACUUUCUAAAGUUAGUGUAGUAAUCCUUCCAUAAAUCAAUGGUCAAGUAUCCUUCUUUUUUUUUUUUGAACAUCAGUCGAGUAUUCUUCAAGAAAGCUCCAACACGUCUUGCCUCAUAUCAAUAUGGCACCAACGGCUAGUUUAUGUGUCCCAAAUCCAAGAAUCUCUAUGUAAAUUCUUGGAUCUCAUUCUUUUAUUCAAAAAUUUAAUAAUUUCAAAGAAAUUUAAAAAAUCAUCUAUUUUCUGCUUGUAGUUUUGUUUGGAUUUAGCACAUAGUACUUAGUGUGGAUUCCCAUUGCCUUUAUCACAGAUCAUUUUCAAAACUUCAAUCCAUAUCCAUCUUCUGUAUCAUUUUUUGUAUGGAUAAUCCUUGAAAGACCUUUUGGGUUAAAGAUUUCUUCUAACUUGGUCUAUCCCGUGAAUCCAUCGCUACCUUGUGUUUACAUCACUUUAUAUAUAAUAAUUAAGUCUCAUCUUCUUUCAAAUGUUUGAUUCCUUAGUCAUAUAUAAUGGUUUGUGCUGGUUUAUCAACAAUUUAUGAUGAAAUCACACAAAAAAAAAAAUUAUGAUGAAAUCGUUUGUGUUCUAUUAAUAUCUUUUUAAAACUCAAAUUGUUUUUCUUUCUUUUUGUGUAUGGAAUAUGAUAUAUUCUCUCAGUAGAAUCAAAGUUAUGGUAAGAUGAAUGUUUAAUUACUGAAUUCGACCGAGAUACAAAGAUUUCAUUUGAAGCUUUGUAAACACUAAGAACAAAAAUGAAAAAAAAAAGCACUCUAUGCGAACAAGGAUAUGCAAAAAAUGAAAUUCAAUCCUUUAAGAAGAUACUAUGAUCUAGCUAGGUCGAUAUCUCAGUGCACCAACCUAAAAUAGAUUGUGAGAAAAACCCUUUCAUUACAAGUCUUAGUUAAACCAACUCUCACCACUCAUGACCGCGUCAUAACGCCACCACCAUCCCCACCCGAACGCAAACGCGAACCACGUCCACUCCUCUUCAUAAGUUAACGUUUGCGGCCAAUCCUCGACCAACCCUGAAAAGGGCAUUUCCGUCUUUUCCUCCAAAUUCUUCACCGCAACAUCAUCCUUCUUCUCCACUUUUUCCUUUUCAAGAACCCUAGCAACAACACUUUUUGGAUCAUCUAGCUUCUCUUCGUUCUUUCUCAUCGACUUCAUGAUCAUCAUCGGUUUCUUAUGUUUAGGAAGAUAUUUCAUGCUCUCUUUGUGAACGUUCAUUCGAGCUUUCGCGGUCAUUCUCGCGUGUUUUGAAUGAUCCUUUCGAGUUUCCUCUCCUUUUCUUGAUUUAUUUCUCUCUUUGCCUUCAUACACCGAGCUUACUCGAGCUUUCUUCAUAGAAUCCACGUGCAUUCAUCACAUUUUAACACUAGUGUUUUAUACUUUAGAUAACUAAGGUAAUACUCAAAAGUUAUUUCCGUUUAUAAAACGCGUAGUCAGCAUCGAUAGAUUACUUGUUGUGCGUACACGUAUGAGUCUUCAACGACUUUGCUUUUUUUUUUUUCAAAAGAGCUCAAAAACUAUAAUGGUGAGAGCAAUGAAUCGAACACAAAAAAUAGAGAGAAAUUAAAAGCAUUAAAGAAUCGAGCACAAAUUUUCAACAGAAGAAAAAGAAUCGAACACAAAAAAAGGAAA